AUCCAGCUGACGAGUCCCAAAUAGGACGAAACUCACGUCUUGGAU
rnacentral:hammerhead_ribozyme from 1 species